GGUGGGGUAGCUCAGUGGCAGGGCGCGUGCUUAGCAUGCAUGAGGUCGUGGGUUCAAUCCCGGGUACCUCCA
rnacentral:tRNA from 1 species